rnacentral:rRNA from 1 species
UACGUAGGGGGCAAGCGUUGUUCGGAAUCAUUGGGCGUAAAGGGAGCGUAGGCGGGGGUGUAAGUUAGGAGUCUAAUUCACGGGCUUAACUCGUGAUCUGCUCCUAAGACUGCAUCUCUUGAGUAUGGGAGAGGCUGACGGAAUUCCAGGUGUAGCGGUGGAAUGCGUAGAUAUCUGGAAGAACACCAGUAGCGAAGGCGGUCAUCUGGCCCAAUACUGACGCUGAGGCUCGAAAGCUAGGGGAG